UGGGGAAUAUUGGACAAUGGGGGAAACCCUGAUCCAGCCAUGCCGCGUGGAUGACGAAGGCCUUCGGGUUGUAAAAUCCUUUUGGCGGGGACGAUGAUGACGGUACCCGCAGAAUAAGCUCCGGCUAACUUCGUGCCAGCAGCCGCGGUAAUACGAAGGGAGCUAGCGUUGUUCGGAAUUACUGGGCGUAAAGGGCGCGUAGGCGGUUUGGCAAGUUGGAUGUGAAAGCCCCGGGCUUAACCCGGGAACAGCAUACAGGACUGUCAGACUUGAAUUCGGUAGAGGUUGGUGGAAUUCCCAGUGUAGAGGUGAAAUUCGUAGAUAUUGGGAAGAAUAUCCGUGGCGAAGGCGGCCAACUGGACCGAAAUUGACGCUGAGGCGCGAAAGCGUGGGGAGCAAACAGG
rnacentral:rRNA from 1 species